rnacentral:rRNA from 1 species
AGAUUAAGUUAUUAAGGGCGCACGGUGGAUGCCUUGGCACUAGAAGCCGAUGAAGGACGUUACUAACGACGAUAUGCUUUGGGUAGCUGUAAGUAAGCGUUGAUCCAGAGAUUUCCGAAUGGGGGAACCCAACAUGAGUUAUGUCAUGUUAUCGACAUGUGAAUUCAUAGCAUGUCAGAAGGCAGACCCGGAGAACUGAAACAUCUUAGUACCCGGAGGAAGAGAAAGAAAAUCGAUUCCCUGAGUAGCGGCGAGCGAAACGGAAGAGCCCAAACCAACAAGCUUGCUUGUUGGGGUUGUAGGACACUCUAUACGGAGUUACAAAAGAACAUGUUAGACGAAUCAUCUGGAAAGAUGAAUCAAAGAAGGUAAUAAUCCUGUAGUCGAAAACAUAUUCUCUUGAGUGAUCCUGAGUACGACGGAGCACGUGAAAUUCCGUCGGAAUCUGGGAGGACCAUCUCCUAAGGCUAAAUACUCUCUAGUGACCGAUAGUGAACCAGUACCGUGAGGGAAAGGUGAAAAGUACCCCGGAAGGGGAGGAAAGAGAACUUGAAACCGUGUGCUUACAAGUAGUCAGAGCCCGUUAAUGGGUGAUGGCGUGCCUUUGUAGAAUGAACCGGCGAGUUACGCAUCUGAUGCAAGGUUAAGCAGCAAAUGUGGAGCCGCAGCGAAAGCGAGUCUGAAUAGGGCGUUGAGUAUUUGGUCGUAGACCCGAAACCAGGCGCAUCUACCCUUGGUCAGGUUGAGUUCAGGUAACACUGAAUGGAGGACCGAACCGACUUACGUUGAAAAGUGAGCGGAUGAACUGAGGGUAGCGGAGAAAUUCCAAUCGAACUUGGAGAUAGCUGGUUCUCUCCGAAAUAGCUUUAGGGCUAGCCUCAAGUGAUGAUUAUUGGAGGUAGAGCACUGUUUGGACGAGGGGCCCUCUCGGGUUACCGAAUUCAGACAAACUCCGAAUGCCAAUUAAUUUAACUUGGGAGUCAGAACAUGGGUGAUAAGGUCCGUGUUCGAAAGGGAAACAGCCCAGACCACCAGCUAAGGUCCCAAAAUAUAUGUUAAGUGGAAAAGGAUGUGGCGUUGCCCAGACAACUAGGGAUGUUGGCUUAGAAGCAGCCAUCAUUUAAAGAGUGCGUAAUAGCUCACUAGUCGAGUGACACUGCGCCGAAAAUGUACCGGGGCUAAACAUAUUACCGAAGCUGUGGAUUGUCCUUUGGACAAUGGUAGGAGAGCGUUCUAAGGGCGUCGAAGUACGAUCGCAAGGACAUGUGGAGCGCUUAGAAGUGAGAAUGCCGGUGUGAGUAGCGAAAGACGGGUGAGAAUCCCGUCCACCGAUUGACUAAGGUUUCCAGAGGAAGGCUCGUCCGCUCUGGGUUAGUCGGGUCCUGCUGAGGCCGACAGGCGUAGGCGAUGGAUAACAGGUUGAUAUUCCUGUACCACCUAGUAUCGUUUUAAUCGAUGGGGGACGCAGUAGGAUAGGCGAAGCGUGCUGUUGGAGUGCACGUCCAAGCAGUAAGGCUGAGUGUUAGGCAAAUCCGGCACUCAUAAGGCUGAGCUGUGAUGGGAGAGGAAAUUGUUUCCUCGAGUCGUUGAUUUCACACUGCCGAGAAAAGCCUCUAGAUAGAUAACAGGUGCCCGUACCGCAAACCGACACAGGUAGUCAAGAUGAGAAUUCUAAGGUGAGCGAGCGAACCUCGUUAAGGAACUCGGCAAAAUGACCCCGUAACUUCGGGAGAAGGGGUGCUCUUUAGGGUUCACGCCCAGAAGAGCCGCAGUGAAUAGGCCCAAGCGACUGUUUAUCAAAAACACAGGUCUCUGCUAAACCGUAAGGUGAUGUACAGGGGCUGACGCCUGCCCGGUGCUGGAAGGUUAAGAGGAGGGUUAGCUUCGCGAAGCUACGAAUCGAAGCCCCAGUAAACGGCGGCCGUAACUAUAACGGUCCUAAGGUAGCGAAAUUCCUUGUCGGGUAAGUUCCGACCCGCACGAAAGGCGUAACGAUUUGGGCACUGUCUCAACGAGAGACUCGGUGAAAUCAUAGUACCUGUGAAGAUGCAGGUUACCCGCGACAGGACGGAAAGACCCCGUGGAGCUUUACUGUAGCCUGAUAUUGAAAUUCGGCACAGCUUGUACAGGAUAGGUAGGAGCCUUUGAAACGUGAGCGCUAGCUUACGUGGAGGCGUUGUGGGAUACUACCCUAGCUGUGUUGGCUUUCUAACCCGCACCACUUAUCGUGGUGGGAGACAGUGUCAGGCGGGCAGUUUGACUGGGGCGGUCGCCUCCUAAAAGGUAACGGAGGCGCUCAAAGGUUCCCUCAGAAUGGUUGGAAAUCAUUCAUAGAGUGUAAAGGCAUAAGGGAGCUUGACUGCGAGACCUACAAGUCGAGCAGGGUCGAAAGACGGACUUAGCGAUCCGGUGGUUCCGCAUGGAAGGGCCAUCGCUCAACGGAUAAAAGCUACCCCGGGAUAACAGGUUUAUCUCCCCAAGAGUUCACAUCGACGGGGAGGUUUGGCACCUCGAUGUCGGCUCAUCGCAUCCUGGGGCUGUAGUCGGUCCCAAGGGUUGGGCUGUUCGCCCAUUAAAGCGGUACGCGAGCUGGGUUCAGAACGUCGUGAGACAGUUCGGUCCCUAUCCGUCGUGGGCGUAGGAAAUUUGAGAGGAGCUGUCCUUAGUACGAGAGGACCGGGAUGGACAUACCUCUGGUGUACCAGUUGUCGUGCCAACGGCAUAGCUGGGUAGCUAUGUAUGGACGGGAUAAGUGCUGAAAGCAUCUAAGCAUGAAGCCCCCCUCAAGAUGAGAUUUCCCAACUUCGGUUAUAAGAUCCCUCGAAGAUGACGAGGUUAAUAGGUUCGAGGUGGAAGUGUGGUGACACGUGGAGCUGACGAAUACUAAUCGAUCGAAGACUUAAUCAAUUUUUAAA